CGGACGGGUGAGUAAUGUCUGGGAAACUGCCUGAUGGAGGGGGAUAACUACUGGAAACGGUAGCUAAUACCGCAUAACGUCGCAAGACCAAAGAGGGGACCUUGGGCCUCUUGCCAUCGGAUGUGCCCAGAUGGGAUUAGCUAGUAGGUGGGGUAACGGCUCACCUAGGCGACGAUCCCUAGCUGGUCUGAGAGGAUGACCAGCCACACUGGAACUGAGACACGGUCCAG
rnacentral:rRNA from 1 species